GAUGAACGCUGGCGGCGCGCCUAACACAUGCAAGUUCGAGCGAGAAUUUCUUAUAAAUGAGCUUCGGCGAGUGAGUAAGAAGGAAAGCGGCGGAACGGGUGAGUAACGCGUGGGUAACCUGCCCUGUACACAAGGAUAGCCACUGGAAACGGUGAUUAAUACUUGAUAGACAUAGAUACCGCAUGGUAUGAAUAUGAGAAAGAGAUAUUGGUAUGGGAUGGGCCCGCGUCUGAUUAGCUAGUUGGUAAGGUAAAGGCUUACCAAGGCAACGAUCAGUAACCGGCCUAAGAGGGUGAACGGUCACACUGGAACUGAGAUACGGUCCAGACUCCUACGGGAGGCAGCAGUGGGGAAUAUUGCACAAUGGGCGAAAGCCUGAUGCAGCGACGCCGCGUGAGUGAAGAAGACUUUCGAGUUGUAAAGCUCUGUCCUAUGGGAAGAAAAGAAUGACGGUACCAUAGGAGGAAGCCCCGGCUAACUACGUGCCAGCAGCCGCGGUAAUACGUAGGGGGCAAGCGUUAUCCGGAAUCAUUGGGCGUAAAGCGUGCGCAGGCGGCUAGGAAGGUCAAAGGUGAAAGGCAUGGGCUUAACCGAUGUAAGCCUUUGAAACCGACUAGCUUGAGCACAGGAGGGGAAAGUGGAAUUUCUAGUGUAGCGGUGAAAUGCGUAGAUAUUAGAAGGAACACCAGUGGCGAAGGCGACUUUCUGGACUGUGACUGACGCUCAUGCACGAAAGCGUGGGUAGCGAACAGGAUUAGAUACCCUGGUAGUCCACGCCGUAAACGAUGAAUACUGGGUGUCAGCUAGCGAUAGUUGGUGCCGCAGCAAACGCAGUAAGUAUUCCGCCUGGGGAGUACGGUCGCAAGACUAAAACUCAAAGGAAUUGACGGGGACCCGCACAAGCAGCGGAGCAUGUUGUUUAAUUCGUGGCAACGCGAAGAACCUUACCAAAUCUUGACAUCCCUAUGAAGUAUGUGUAAAGACGUAUGAGUUUUCGGACACAUAGGAGACAGGUGGUGCAUGGUUGUCGUCAGCUCGUGUCGUGAGAUGUUGGGUUAAGUCCCGCAACGAGCGCAACCCCUAUUUUUAGUUGCCAUCAGGUAAAGCUGGGCACUCUAAAGAGACUGCCGGAGACAAUCCGGAGGAAGGUGGGGAUGAUGUCAAAUCAUCAUGCCCUUUAUGAUUUGGGCUACAAACGUGCUACAAUGGUUGGUACAGAGGGAAGCGAAGCAGUAAUGUGGAGCGAAUCCAAAAAGCCAAUCCCAGUUCGGAUUGAGGGCCGCAACUCGCCCUCAUGAAGUUGGAGUUGCUAGUAAUCGCGGAUCAGAAUGCCGCGGUGAAUGCGUUCCCGGGUCU
rnacentral:rRNA from 1 species